GAUGAACGCUGGCGGCGUGCCUAAUACAUGCAAGUCGAGCGAACGGACGAGAAGCUUGCUUCUCUGAUGUUAGCGGCGGACGGGUGAGUAACACGUGGAUAACCUACCUAUAAGACUGGGAUAACUUCGGGAAACCGGAGCUAAUACCGGAUAAUAUUUUGAACCGCAUGGUUCAAAAGUGAAAGACGGUCUUGCUGUCACUUAUAGAUGGAUCCGGGCUGCAUUAGCUAGUUGGUAAGGUAACGGCUUACCAAGGCAACGAUGCAUAGCCGACCUGAGAGGGGGAUCGGCCACACUGGAACUGAGCCACGGUCCAGACUCCUACGGGAGGCAGCAGUAGGGAAUCUUCCGCAAUGAGCGAAAGCCUGACGGAGCAACGCCGCGUGAGUGAUGAAGGUCUUCGGAUCGUAAAACUCUGUUAUUAGGGAAGAACAUAUGUGUAAGUAACUGUGCACAUCUUGACGGUACCUAAUCAGAAAGCCACGGCUAACUACGUG
rnacentral:rRNA from 1 species